rnacentral:rRNA from 1 species
AUAUUAAAGUGUGGUUUUAAAAAAAUAAUAUGAAUUUUCUUUAUAUAAUUAAUUUUAAUAUAGUUUUAAACAUAGAAGAUAUUUUUUAUUUAUUUAUA